rnacentral:rRNA from 1 species
AUUGAACGCUGGCGGCAUGCCUUACACAUGCAAGUCGAACGGCAGCGGGCCUUCGGGUGCCGGCGAGUGGCGAACGGGUGAGUAAUGCAUCGGAACGUGCCAUUGAGUGGGGGGAUAACGUAGCGAAAGUUACGCUAAUACCGCAUAUUCUGUGAGCAGGAAAGCAGGGGACCGCAAGGCCUUGCGCUCUUUGAGCGGCCGAUGUCAGAUUAGCUAGUUGGUGAGGUAAAGGCUUACCAAGGCGACGAUCUGUAGCGGGUCUGAGAGGAUGAUCCGCCACACUGGUACUGAGACACGGUCCAGACUCCUACGGGAGGCAGCAGUGGGGAAUUUUGGACAAUGGGCGCAAGCCUGAUCCAGCCAUGCCGCGUGAGUGAAGAAGGCCUCGGUUGU